rnacentral:lncRNA from 1 species
ACCAGCUCGCGUCCCUCCCCGGCCAGGGCCACCGCCGUCCGAGCGCCCGCGAGGGCUGGCGCCCCAUUCCCGGCGCAACGAGUGUUGCGCAACGGCCCACGCGGCCGACACGACCGGAGCGAGCCUGCGGAGGAGCCCGGGAGCCCCCCGUCCCACCGCCCCGUCCGCUCUUGGCUCCCUUCACCCUCCCGGUCGCCGCGGUGGCUCUGCGCUCCCCGCGACCCUCACUUGCUCGCAGAGGCGCUUUUUGUCUUCCUGAGAGCCGCAGCCUGCUGGGCUACCUGUUGCCGACUGAGCACUGCGGGUUGCGGCUACCCGGGCGUGGCCCGGACCUCGGCCUCCCCUUCCCCGCACACUCCCGAGAGGAGCCCUCUACCUUGGGGUGGGCAGGAGGGAAGGCGGGGGGUGGCGGCUGGCAAGCUGCCAACACUCGGGGCGCGCUGCGGCGGGGAAGGGGUUGGCGCGGCCGGGCAGCUGCGCAGGGCUGCGCGGCGGAGGCAGCGAUUAAAAUGUCCCGGCGCCUCUCCCGAGAGCCGCGACGGCCCGGAGCCGGGAGGGAAAGCUCCACGCACAAACACCGCCCCCUGCACAAUUAGGGCGAAGAUGACGGCUGCAAAGUUGUUGCGUAACACGACUGGGAAACGAGGCUCGCUGAGGUCCAUCUACCCACCCCCGCCACGCGGGUGCGGCGUUCCUCGGAGGAUGUGAAGGUCCGCGCUCGGGUGCCCCCGCUGGGACGCCCACUGUCGUUUGGUGCUGGGGCUUGAGACGACCGCGCGGGAUCUCUUCCUGUGAUUUUGAGCUGAUAGCUGCUUAGUGUUAUUUCUGCGUCUAACUGGAUACGGUAGUCUUCUCUCCCAAAUUCCCGGGCUACGGAAGAGACGUAAAAAAAUGGAAAAAAGAGCACCUAGCCGCGACUUCUUAAGUCGUCGCGCUAGACUGUCAAGGCACGUGGCACACUCCCUGCGUUUACCGAUACACGGAUAGUGGUCAGUGCUGGCCUUGGCGAAGGGAGCCAUGUUCCCGACAGUGACUCACAGGCUUGCCCAAAUACGGAGUGUGGCAGGUGGGCAGGACCUCCACCAGCCAGCUCCCUCCUGGUCUCCUUGAACUACGUGGGGGCUGGGCCGAGUGCCUCCACGACUUUCCACUUCUUUUUGCUCCUUUCGUUUUUAAAAAGCAAAAACCAAAGUAAAGAGAAGAGCAGAGUGAACACCCAGGUACCAUCCCUAGUGUCUGCCAUGAGCAGCAGAUCUAUCUACUCGCCAAGAUUGUCUUUUCUACCUUUCCCCUUCUUGCACAGUUAAUAUCAUAAUAACGCAAGUCAUAUUUAAAAAAUUUUUAUCACCUAUCAGUUGAGUUUUUGGAAAGCCUUCCAGGGCAGCGUUGUGGUUUUGAACGCACUCUUGUUCGUGAUUUAUCUGGUAGUACAGCUCUGCUGACAAGGCUCUGAAAACUCAGACGUACAAUAUGGGCUUAGCGUGUUCCCCGACACCAUCUUCCCGGUGCUGACUAAUGCAAGAACCACAUCCCCUCCACUACACAUUUUCCAAACUUGACUACCUUCAUGAGAACAAAUCCUGAUUUUAGUUUAUAAUUUCCACUUUUCUCAUACAUAUAUAAUAAUUCAAGAUGUGGUCUUACUAUGUUGUCCAGGUUGGCCUGGAACUCCUGGGCUCAAAGGAUCCUCCGGCCACAGCCUCCCUGGUAGUGGAAUUACAGGCGCAUGCCACUGUGCCUGGCCACUUUUCUCAAAUUUACUGAUAGUUUCCUUUUUGCCCAAACCUUACAAUGCUUAUUUGUAGCUUUGAGAACCUCUCUUAGAUGAAAUCAAAAUCAUAUCCAUAUUAGUUGCCUUUUUGGGGUCAGAAAUGCAGCUAUUGUCUAGAAAUCCAGGGCUGUCCUGCAUAAUCUACCCUCCCCUUCACGUGUUCUGACCUUGUUCUGCAUUUUGAAUAAUUUCAUGGAAUUUCAAAGCCGUUGUAGUAAAUGUCUUUCUUUAAAGACAACUCGACCUUCAAGACAGGUAAAGAACGUGCCUGGAGCCACCCCAGGCAGUGAUGCUGGAGGAGUUCUCUCAACCUGGAAACUUAUUCUUUAUGCUGAAUUUUGAAAUCGAAUGCUCCUAUAUUUACUUGGAGUAUUUUAGAUUGUGUAUGUAUUAUAUCUGUGCAUCAUUCAUUGUUACCAUCUAACUUGGAAAUCAGAGGAAGUGUGAAAGGUAUCUGAGAUACCAGCUUAGAAAACAACUCUUUAGCUCCUCCUGGUGAUUAGGACACCACUAAACAACAGGAUGAAGGAUCUGUCCCCAGGGCCGAAGUGAUGAUGUAUCUAAUAUUAUAUCCUAGAACAUUCACAGAGUAGGUAAGUAUUUGCAGAUUAACUCGAGUAAAUGGAGCAUAAAAACCUAAGAUAUUUGAAACAAAUUAACCAGGGUGGGGAGGCUUCUAGGAAGACAUCAGCAUGUGCCUGAUGGUGGAGCUGGGCUGUAAGGUUCUCAGGAGGAGGAGGAAGGGGUUCUUGCUCUCAGCAACCUCUCAGUGCUAGGGGUGGAUUGAGGGCAGGGGCAAGGGAGGAGGUGCCUGGACAGGGAUGAGAACUACCAGCAGAAGACAAUCAACCACAUUCUAAUUCAUUUUAUUAUACUGCCAACAUGGUUUCUGACUAAGCAAAUAUAAGAGCUAUAGCUUGAGAACAGAAUGACUAAAACAGUGACUUCUCCUUACUAAAAUGGGAAUUAAUAGGAAUUUGUAAUUUAGUAACAACUUAAUUUAAUAUAGUAAUAAUUUUUCUACAGCUGCAGAAUGUCUUGAGCUGGAACAUCCCCAAGAGGCCAUAUAUAUAUCCCAGGGAUUUUACAGUGGACCUCACUAGGCCGGAGUAACUGUAAAGUCAGAUGGAUAAUGAGAAUUCAGGACGUUAGCCACACGUGGACUGUGGCAAAAAGAAAGUGACCCACUGAAGAAGACUGUUUUUCAGCUCUCUCAUCAAUUGCUGUUUCCAGGAGCCCACAGCUCCAAUUACUCAAAAGAACGUUGACUUUUUUUUUUUUGGUAAAAUAUCCUGAUUUUCAGGUUAGGCAAGCAAUUCAUUAAAAAAUAAAAGACUGCACAGCCCACAGCUCCAAUUAUUCAAAAGAAAGUUGACUUUCUUUUUUUUGGUAAAAUAUCCUGAUUUUCAGUUUAGGCAAGCAAUUCAUUAAAAAAUAAAAGACUGCAGGACUUACCUACCCAGAGGCUGGACAGUCUGAGUCCUCUGAGUUCUACAGAGAUGUCCUGGGAACAGGGGGUGGAGACGGGGGACUCAGUGGCUAAAAAGCAGGCUGCCUACCUGGCAACCAAAUUGGGCAGCUCUACCCUAUCUGUUUUGUGCAUUGGACUUAUGGAUUUCUUUGUAGAAAAAACUUCGAUAACUAAAAGCCCUUUGGUGACCUCCUGUCUGGUCUGGUGGCCGGCAGCCUGCAUCAGGGCUCCUGUGUGCCAGGACCAUUUUCUUUCCACUGUAGUAUGUUUAUGGACCACCUUGUGUCUUUUUAUUAAACUCCAGGAACAGAAGUUCAGUUUCUGG